rnacentral:rRNA from 1 species
GACGAACGCUGGCGGCGUGCCUAAUACAUGCAAGUCGAACGCACAGUUUAUACCGUAGCUUGCUACACCAUAAACUGUGAGUUGCGAACGGGUGAGUAACGCGUAGGUAACCUGCCUGGUAGCGGGGGAUAACUAUUGGAAACGAUAGCUAAUACCGCAUAAUAUUAAUUAUUGCAUGAUAAUUGAUUGAAAGAUGCAAUUGCAUCACUACCAGAUGGACCUGCGUUGUAUUAGCUAGUAGGUGAGGUAACGGCUCACCUAGGCGACGAUACAUAGCCGACCUGAGAGGGUGAUCGGCCACACUGGGACUGAGACACGGCCCAGACUCCUACGGGAGGCAGCAGUAGGGAAUCUUCGGCAAUGGACGAAAGUCUGACCGAGCAACGCCGCGUGAGUGAAGAAGGUUUUCGGAUCGUAAAGCUCUGUUGUAAGAGAAGAACGGGUGUGAGAGUGGAAAGUUCACACUGUGACGGUAGCUUACCAGAAAGGGACGGCCAACUACGUG